rnacentral:rRNA from 1 species
CACGGAUCCAGAGUUUGAUCAUGGCUCAGGAUGAACGCUAGCGGCAGGCUUAACACAUGCAAGUCGAGGGGCAGCGGGGAGUAGCAAUACUCUGCCGGCGACCGGCGAAAGGGUGCGUAACGCGUGAGCGACAUACCCGUGACUGGGGCAUAACCGAUGGAAACGUUGACUAAUUCCCCAUAACACAUCGUGCUGCAUGGCAUGGUGUUGAAAAUUUCGAUGGUCACGGAUUGGCUCGCGUCUGAUUAGCUAGUUGGUGGGGUAACGGCUCACCAAGGCGACGAUCAGUAGGGGUUCUGAGAGGAAGGUCCCCCACAAUGGAACUGAGACACGGUCCAUACUCCUACGGGAGGCAGCAGUGAGGAAUAUUGGUCAAUGGGCGGAAGCCUGAACCAGCCAUGCCGCGUGCAGGAUGACGGCCCUAUGGGUUGUAAACUGCUUUUGCUGUGGAGCAAUAAGGGUCACGUGCUGACCCGAUGAGAGUACACAGCGAAUAAGCAUCGGCUAACUCCGUGCCAGCAGCCGCGGUAAUACGGAGGAUGCGAGCGUUAUCCGGAUUUACUGGGUUUAAAGGGUGCGUAGGCUGUGCGGUAAGUCAGAGGUGAAAGGUCCGCGCUCAACGCGGGAACUGCCUUUGAUACUGUCGUGCUGGAGUGCGGAUGCCGUUGGAGGAAUGAGUGGUGUAGCGGUGAAAUGCAUAGAUAUCACUCAGAACACCGAUUGCGAAGGCAUCUGACGAAUCCGUAACUGACGCUGAGGCACGAAAGCGUGGGGAUAGAACAGGAUUAGAUACCCUGGUAUUCCACGCUGUAAACGAUGAUGGCUAACCGCUGGCGAUAGAGUGUCAGUGGCCAAGCGAAAGCGAUAAGCCAUCCACCUGGGGAGUACGUCGGCAACGAUGAAACUCAAAGGAAUUGACGGGGGCCCGCACAAGCAGCGGAGCAUGUGGUUUAAUUCGAAGCAACGCGAAGAACCUUACCAGGUCUUGACAUCCUCUGACGAGCCUAGAGAUAGGAAGUUUCCUUCGGGAACAGAGAGACAGGUGGUGCAUGGUUGUCGUCAGCUCGUGUCGUGAGAUGUUGGGUUAAGUCCCGCAACGAGCGCAACCCCUGCCUUUAGUUGCCAGCAUUAAGUUGGGCACUCUAGAGGGACUGCCGUAGACAAUACGGAGGAAGGUGGGGAUGACGUCAAAUCAUCAUGCCCCUUAUGACCUGGGCUACACACGUGCUACAAUGGUCUGAACAGAGGGCCGCGAAGCCGCGAGGUGAAGCAAAUCCCUUAAAACAGAUCCCAGUUCGGAUUGCAGGCUGCAACUCGCCUGCAUGAAGUUGGAGUUGCUAGUAAUCGCGGAUCAGAAUGCCGCGGUGAAUGCGUUCCCGGGUCUUGUACACACCGCCCGUCACACCACGAGAGUUGGCAGCACCCGAAGCCUGUGAGAGAACCGCAAGGACUCAGCAGUCGAAGGUGGGGCUAGUAAUUGGGGUGAAGUCGUAACAAGGUAGCCGUAAGCUUCAC